rnacentral:rRNA from 1 species
ACGAAGGAUGCAAGCGUUAUCCGGAUUCAUUGGGUUUAAAGGGAGCGUAGGCGGCCCAAUAAGUCAGUGGUGAAAUCUCCUGGCUUAACUAGGAAAUUGCCAUUGAUACUGUUGGGCUUGAGUACAGUUGCCGUUGGCGGAAUAUGACAUGUAGUGGUGAAAUACAUAGAGAUGUCAUAGAACACCGAUUGCGAAGGCAGCUAACGAAACUGUAACUGACGCUGAGGCUCGAAAGUGCGGGGAUCAAACAGGAUUAGAUACCCUGGUAGUCCGCACUGUAAACGAUGAUUACUCGCUGCUGGGAGGUAACUUUCAGUGGCUUAGCGAAAGCGAUAAGUAAUCCACCUGGGGAGUACGACGGCAACGGUG